AACUCUGAGCGGUGGAUCACUCGGCGUCGUGCGUCGAUGAAGAGCGCAGCCAACUGCGUGAAUUAGUUGUGAAUUGCAGCUUGAAUCUUGAACAUCGACAUCUUGAACGCAUAUUGCGGCCUCAGGUCUCCCCUGUGGCCACGCCUGGCCGAGGGUCG
rnacentral:rRNA from 1 species